GAUGAACGCUGACAGAAUGCUUAACACAUGCAAGUCAACUUGAACUUCGGUUUGGGUGGCGGACGGGUGAGUAACGCGUACAGAACUUGCCUCACAGUUAGGGACAACAUUUGGAAACGAAUGCUAAUACCUGAUAUUAUCAUUUUAGGGCAUCUUAGAAUUAUGACAGCUAUAUGCGCUGUGAGAGAGCUUUGCGUCCCAUUAGCUAGUUGGAGAGGUAACGGCUCACCAAGGCGAUGAUGGGUAGCCGGCCUGAGAGGGUGAACGGCCACAAGGGGACUGAGACACGGCCCUUACUCAUACGGGAGGCAGGAGUGGGGAAUAUUGGACAAUGGACCAAGAGUCUGAUCCAGCAAUUCUGUGUGCAAGAUGAAGUUUUUCGGAAUGUAAAGUGCUUUAAGUUGGGAAGAAAAAAAUGACGAUACCAACAGAAGAAGUGACGGCUAAAUACGUG
rnacentral:rRNA from 1 species